AGGCGAUGAAGGACGUACUAAGCUGCGAUAAGCUAUGGGGAGCUGCUAAGAAGCUUUGAUCCAUAGAUUUCCGAAUGGGGCAACCCAAUACAUAGAGAUAUGUAUUACCUUUAAUGGAGCGAACCUAGCGAAGUGAAACAUCUCAGUAGCUAGAGGAAAAGAAAUCAAACGAGAUUCUCCUAGUAGCGGCGAGCGAACGGGGAAGAGGGCAAACCGAAUGCUUGCAUUCGGGGUUGAGGACUGCAAUAUCCACUUGAAACACUUAGCAGAAGUAUUUGGAAAGAUACGUCACAGAGGGUGAUAGUCCCGUAUGCGAAAAGUGUUUCAUAGGUAGCAGGAUCCAGAGUAGGCCAGGACACGUGAAAUCCGGGUUGAAGCCGGGGAGACCACUCUCCAACCCUAAAUACUACUAUCACACCGAUAGCGAACAAGUACCGUGAGGGAAAGGUGAAAAGAACCGCAGUGAGCGGAGUGAAAUAGAACCUGAAACCAUCUGCCUACAAUCAUUCAGAGCCCUAUGAUUUAUCAGGGUGAUGGACUGCCUUUUGCAUAAUGAUCCUGCGAGUUGUGGUAUCUGGCAAGGUUAAGCACACGCGAAGCCGUAGCGAAAGCGAGUCUGAAAGGGCGUUUAGUCAGAUGCUGCAGACCCGAAGCCAAGUGAUCUAUCCAUGGCCAAGUUGAAGCGAGUGUAAUAGCUCGUGGAGGACUGAACUCGUACCCAUUGAAACGGGUUGGGAUGAGCUGUGGAUAGGGGUGAAAGGCCAAACAAACUUGGUGAUAGCUGGUUCUCUUCGAAAUAUAUUUAGGUAUAGCCUCAAGUGAUAGUAAUAGGGGGUAGAGCUCUGAUUGGGCUAGGGCUGCUCACCGCGGUACCAACCCCUGUCAAACUUCGAAUACCUAUUACCGUAUCUUGGGAGUCAGGCGGUGGGUGAUAAAAUCAAUCGUCAAAAGGGGAACAACCCAGACUACCAACUAAGGUCCCAAAGUUCUAUUCUAAGUGGAAAAUGAUGUGAAGUUACUCAGACAACCAGGAGGUUGGCUUAGAAGCAGCCAUCCUUUAAAGAAAGCGUAACAGCUCACUGGUCUAGUGAUUUUGCGCAGAAAAUAUAACGGGGCUAAGAUAGACACCGAAGUUGUAGAUUGUGCUGAUGCACAGUGGUAGAAGAGCGUUCGUAUCAGCGUUGAAGCCAUACCGGCAAGGAGUGGUGGAGCGAUGCGAAGUGAGCAUGCAGGAAUGAGUAGCGAUAAAAGUGGUGAGAAUCCACUUCGCCGAAAGUCUAAGGUUUCCUACGCGAUGCUCGUCAUCGUAGGGUUAGUCGGGUCCUAAGACAAGUCCGAAAGGGGUAGUCGAUGGCAAAUGGGUUAAUAUUCCCAUACCAACAUUAGUGUGCGAUGGGGGGACGCAUAGGGCUAAGUAGCGUUAGCUGAUGGAAUAGCUAAUUUAAAAGUGUAGAUUGAGAGAUUGGCAAAUCCGCUUUUGUAUUCGAAACUUGAAUAGCUUGUUGCGAUCUUCGGAUCAAGAUGAGUGCUACUGACGCCGUCGUGCCAAGAAAAGCCUCUAAGUUUAGCUAAUGUUGCCCGUACCGCAAACCGGCACAGGUAGAUGAGAUGAGUAUUCUAAGGCGCGUGAAAGAACUCUGGUUAAGGAACUCUGCAAACUAGCACCGUAAGUUCGCGAUAAGGUGUGCCUACGCAAGUAGGUCUCAGCAAAGAGUCCCUCCCGACUGUUUACCAAAAACACAGCACUUUGCAAACUCGUAAGAGGAAGUAUAAGGUGUGACGCCUGCCCGGUGCUCGAAGGUUAAGAGGAUUAGUUAGCAGUAAUGCGAAGCUUUGAAUUGAAGCCCGAGUAAACGGCGGCCGUAACUAUAACGGUCCUAAGGUAGCGAAAUUCCUUGUCGGUUAAAUACCGACCUGCAUGAAUGGCGUAACGAGAUGGGAGCUGUCUCAACCAGGGAUUCAGUGAAAUUGUAGUGGAGGUGAAAAUCCCUCCUACCCGCGGCAAGACGGAAAGACCCCGUGGACCUUUACUACAGCUUGGCACUGCCGAUGGGAGCAUUAUGCGCAGGAUAGGUGGGAGGCUUUGAAAUCUUCACUCCGGUGGAGAUGGAGCCAUCCUUGAGAUACCACCCUUAAUGUUUCUGUCUGCUAACUGGCUAGAGUUAUCCUCUAGCAGGACAAUGCCUGGUGGGUAGUUUGACUGGGGCGGUCGCCUCCUAAAAAGUAACGGAGGCUUGCAAAGGUUGGCUCAUUGCGGUUGGAAAUCGCAAGUAGAGUGUAAUGGCAUAAGCCAGCCUGACUGUAAGACAAACAAGUCAAGCAGAGACGAAAGUCGGUCAUAGUGAUCCGGUGAUUCUGUGUGGAAGGGUCAUCGCUCAAAGGAUAAAAGGUACCCCGGGGAUAACAGGCUGAUCUCCCCCAAGAGCUCACAUCGACGGGGAGGUUUGGCUCCUCGAUGUCGGCUCAUCGCAUCCUGGGCCUGGAGCAGGUCCCAAGGGUAUGGCUGUUCGCCAUUUAAAGCGGUACGCGAGCUGGGUUCAGAACGUCGUGAGACAGUUCGGUCCCUAUCUGCCGUGGGCGUAGGAGAGUUGAGGAGAGCUGUCCCUAGUACGAGAGGACCGGGAUGGACAUGCCACUGGUGUAAGAGUUGUUCUGCCAAGAGCAUCGCUCUGUAGCUACGCAUGGACGUGAUAACCGCUGAARGCAUCUAAG
rnacentral:rRNA from 1 species